rnacentral:lncRNA from 10 species
CCCUGCUUCCCUUUAUAGCAAAACUUGCCCUUUAUAACAUCUCUCUACACACUGGGUCUACUUCCUUCUCCCCAUUUUCUCCUGAGCUACUUCAUUCAGUCUUUUCAUCCCCACCACCCCACUGAAACAAUCCCCACAGUCACGGUCACCUGCAGUCCCCACAAUGCCAAGCUCGGUGGUCAGUUUCCAGUCUGCACAUUGACAUCGCAGCAGCGUUUGAUACAGCUGAACACUCCCUCUUUCUUGAAACAGUCUUCUCACUUAGCUUCUGGGACACCACACUCUCCAGCCCCUUCCUGAUUCUCCUGCUGUGUCUUCAUUUUCUCAUGGCUGUCCCCCUCCUCUUCGCAGCCUCUGAAUAGUAUUUCACCCCGGGGCCCUCUCCUGGGACGUCUUCUCUUCUUUAUCUACAUCAUUUUAUCCACUCCGUGGCUUUAAAUAAGUCUCUCCACCCCUCUCCUUUUCUGAAAUGCAGACCUGUGUGCUGCCUACUCAACAUCUCCUCUUGACUAUCUAGUAGGCAUCUCAAACUCAACGUGUUCAAGACUGAAUUUCCCUGCAAAAAAACAACCGUUCAUCCCAUAGUCUUCCUCAUCUCAGUAUAUGGCAACCCCAUCCUUCCUUAAGUCAAAAAUUUGAAGUCAUCUAUGAAUCUUUUAAUCUUCUCUCACCCCAGUCAGCUCUACCUUCAAAGCAUAUAGUAAAUUAAACAAUUUCUGACAAGCCCCAUUGCUACCCCCAUCCAGCCCAUCGCCACUUCUCACCUGGACUACUGGAGUAAUCUCCCAGCCGUCUCCCUGCAUUCACUCUUACUCUCCUACUGCCUGUUCCCCAUUGAGCAGCCAAUGAGUACCUUGAAAACAUAAAUCACUAUCGUGCCUCUUCUCUGCUCAACACCUUCCGACAUCUUCCCAUUGUACUGGAGUAAAACCCUAUCCCUUUUUCUGCGUGACCCUAUCCUCCUUUUCCUCUGUAGCACCUGUUGCUCCCUGACAUUCUAGUAUGUACGCUUAAUUGCUUGAUAGCUUCUGUCUCCCUCACUGUUAUAUCCUCAGCACCUAGAACAUUCCUGAAUAUUACUCAUAGUAAGACUCCAUGAACAUCAUCUGUUGAAUAAAUGCUAGAAAACAAUGACACCCUGUCAAUUCAAGAAACUUCCUUUUUUUUUUUUUUUUUUUUGAGAGAGUCUUGUCCUGUCGCCCAGGCUGGAGUGCACUGGCACGACCUUGGCUCACCACAACCUCUACCUCCUGGGUUCAAGUGAUUCUCCUGCCUCAGCCUCCUGAGUAGCUGGGAUUACAGGUGUGUGCCAUAAUUUUUGUAUUUUUAGUACAGACAGGGCUUCACCACAUUGGUCAGGCUGGUAUCAAACUCCUGACCUCGUGAUCCGCCUGCCUCUGCCUCUCAAAGUGCUGGGAUUAUAGGCGUGAGCCACUGUGCCUGGCCAAUUCAAGAAACUUCUUUUCCACAUCAAACAUUUGAACCUUAAAUACUUUCCCGGACCAGCCCUUAUACUUUCUAACCUGCUCCUUGACUUUCUUUUAUCCCUUUUUCUCAUGGAAUUUUACAAUCCGCCCCCUCCCCAAGUUCAGCCUCUGGAGGAAUUUAGAGCUUCCCUCAGAGCUCCUUGUGAUUCUAGAGUGUGAUGGAGACUGUGAAGUGCUGCUACGGUCUCCUCCUUCAGAAUGAGACACUUAUUCACCCUCCUCACCUCAUUAUUCCACGCUCUACUACUAGAAGUUCUACUGGCAGUCAGCCCUCUCUGUGAUUGUUCUCCGCAGAAGACAGCCACCUCGCCAAGAUCGUGUCUCCCCUUUCUGAGGAAGCCCAGAGCUGAUGACUGGCCAUAUGGAUAUAAAACGCACAACCCCCUCAGGGGAACUCCGACUCGGGCAUCUCUGAAGGACUAUGGGGUCCAGUGCAGCACAGAGUGGGACAUUACUUUCUGCUGGGAAGACCCACUUCCCAAUCAAGGGAGCAUUUGGUCUGAGUCCUGAAGGGUGGUUGGUUAAGUGGCAAAUACGCAGAGCUGGAGAAUGAAGGAUUUUUUUUUUUAAUACUUUAAGUUCUAGGAUACACGCGCACAAUGUGCAGGUUUGUUACAUAUGUAUACAUGUGCCAUGUUGGUUUGCUGCACCCAUCAACUCAUCAUUUACAUUAGGUAUUUCUCCUAAUGCUAUCCCUCCCCCAGGCCCCCACCCCCUAACGGCCCCCAAUGUGUGAUGUUCCCUGCCUUGUGUCCAAGUGAUCUCAUUGUUCAAUUCCCACCUAUGAGUGAGAACAUGCAGCGUUUGGUUUUCUGUCCUUGUGAUAGUUUGCUGAGAAUGAUGGUUUCCAGCUUCAUCCACGUCCCUGCAAAGGACAUGAACUCAUCCUUUUUUAUGGCUGCAUAGUAUUCUAUGGUGUAUAUGUGCCAUAUUUUCUUAAUCCAGUCUGUCAUUGAUGGACAUUUGCAUUGGUUCCAAGUCUUUGCUAUUGUGAACAGUGCUGCAGUGAACAUACGUGUGCAUGUGUCUUUGUAGUAGCAUGAUUUAUAAUCCUUUGGGUAUAUACCCAGUAAUGGGAUAGCUGGGUCAAAUGGUAAUUCUAGUUCUAGAUCCUUGAGGAAUCGCCACACUGUCUUCCACAAUGGUUGAACUAAUUUACACUCCCACCAACAGUGUAAAAGCGUUCCUAUUUGGGGAAUGAAGGAUUUUUAACUAAGGAAGCUAUGAGAAUGAAAGACCAAUAACAGAAAAGUACAGGGUAGAGGAAAUGUGGGAGUUUAUCGUGGUUUGAGAGAAGAAAGUAUGAUGGGGUAUGAUGAGAGACGAAGGCAUAAAUGGAGGUAGAGGUCAGAUCACGGUGGCCUGCAAGGUCCUAUAUACAAGUAGUCAAAAGGGCACGACAGGUUUUUGAGUAGGGAAGCAUAGUGGCCUUGUAUCGUCUUGCACCCCUUCCUUUUUCCCCUUCUGGCCACAGUCCUGCCCUUCAGACUGUCUGGUUCAAAAUGGAGCUGCCACCUUUUUACAGGCCCCACCUUCCUGGUCACAGUGAUUGGCCUGGGAGUGGGUGCCUGAUUUGGCUCGAUCAAAAUGAGCUGUUUCCUGGGACAUUUGAACUAAAGACCUGCAAGAUCUAGUCUCAGUUCGUCUCAAAGCUGCAUGUUGUCCAGUGUAACCAUAGGAACUGCCGAGAUUGUACGAGAUCAUGGGCUCUGGAAUCAGACAGUGUGAAUUCCAAUCCCUGCUCUAUUACAUAUCCAUUAUGAAACACUGAACAAACCACUUAAUCUCUUACAGGCUCAGCUUUCUCAUCACUGAACUGGAGAUACAGGAGUUGGAGACUUGGAAUCCCCUUUGGUGCAGAAACUAUUCCUUCAUGAGAAGAAGUCCUUAAAUAGGCUCUUUAGACAGGAGGCCACAUGUUGAAGGCAGCAGGGUCACAAGAUGGAAGAACCAGGGUCCCAGUAUCAUCGCUCCCUGCUUCAAGCUGCCAGGGGCAGCCUAACCCACAUGGCAUUAUGACAUAAGAAACAAAGUAACUAUUGUUUUAUUAAAUCAAUGAGAUAUUGGGCUUCUUGUUAUAGCAACUAGUAUAAAUUGCCCUGACUGAUACAUUAUGGAUUUAGAGUGCACUGUACUACAACUGUUUGUUGUAUUUUCAAAAUUGUGGUAUAACUGACUUACAAUAAACUUCAUAUAUUUAAAGAGUACUAUUUAAUAAGUUCAACAUAUUCAUAUAUCCAUGAAACCAUCACCACAAUCAAAAUAAGACACAUUUCCAUCAACUGAAAAAGUCUCCUCAUUCUCCUUUGAAAUCUCUUCUUCC